GGGGAGGGAGCGUGCUCCUGACCUACCGGCGGACGGGUGAGUAUGUAGGAAUCUGCCUAUAGUGGUGGACAACAUUCCGCAAGGAAUGCUCAUACCGAUACGCCCUACGGGGGAAAGCAGGGGAUCUUCGGACCUUGCGCUAAUAGAUGAGCCUAAGUCAGAUUAGCUAGUUGGUGGGGUAAGGCCUACCAAGGCGACGAUCUGUAGCGGGUCUGAGAGGAUGAUCCGCCACACUGGGACUGAGACACGGCCCAGACUCCUACCGGAGGCAGCAGUGGGGGAAUAUUGGACAAUGGGCGAAAGCCCUGAUUCAGUCAUGCUUUGGUGUGAAGAAGGCCUUUUGGUUGGAGGCACUUUUAUCCGAGGAGGAGGCUCUGAGAUAAUCUCUAGAAAGAGACGUUCUCGCAAAUACACCCGCUACUCUGGCCACAGCCCGGAAUCAGACGGGCAGCGUAUCGAUUACUGGCGUAAGCGGCUAGCGGUUUUAGCCGAUGGGACCC
rnacentral:rRNA from 1 species